rnacentral:rRNA from 1 species
GUACGUGAAACCGUUCAGGGGUAAAGCGGGAGAAAUCCUGAAUUCGAAUGGGAUGGAUUCACCUCUGCCUCGCAAAGGCCAUGUUUCGCCGGUGCUUACGGCCGCCCGCGGUGAUUAAUUUCUCUCGUGGUGUCGUAACCGUAACGCAUUCGGUCGGGACAUGUUGCUCUAGCCUUGGUAUGACGCGCACUUCCUCCCUAGUCGAAGCGUCGGACCCGUUGGGAGUCGGUCUAAGGCCCGGGAAGGCAGAUCACGUGUCCUGUGACGUUGUCGCGCGCAGGCUCGUGAACUCCUGGUGUCCUGGCCAACGCCCGACGGUAAUGUAGAGGAGUCGGUCCGCUGGAAAUUGUGAUAUAUGUAGCGUCCGGCCCGGCGCCCGCGCGUUGUCGGUUAUGUGAACCCCAGUGGGUCCGUGAAUGCACGGAACUGGAACUGGCAUCGCGUUGGGUCGUCGGUGACCUCGGACAGGAUCUGGUCUCCCGUCCCGACGAGCUCAUUCGGAUAC